CUGCACGUCGCCUCCCCCACAGUUUCCCGAUUCUCGUUUUCCUUGCGUUUCCGCAAGGAAUGUCUAUCGUAGACCUCUUUUCCAAGGCUUGGUUCACCCGCAAUAUGCAGCUUCCGAGCCUGCUCCAGGACCUCGUCGAAUGCUGCAGUUGGAUCCAUUGCGGUCGGUCUCUGUCUGGCACCCGGACAGCCAAGUCUAGCUGAGAGACACGAGUUUCGGAACUUAACCCUAAGCAUACAUCUGGUUCAGUUUGCGCUCAGUCGUCCAAUCUCUUUUUUAAAUCGCGUUCUUUGUCGAUGGACUAGGAGAGAAGACAUCCAGUCACUCAUCAGUGCGCAAGAGGAAGGAUGCCAUGGGUCGUUAUGGUAAGAGCCUCUGUGAGGACGCUCGUCAGCCCUCUCCGCUGGAAUUCGCACUAUGGUCGAGAAUAGGCUGUUCUUGUGAUGCAGUUGGCAUUAUAGGCAGAGAGAUUGGCCUUGUCUGUUGGGAUCUGCAGCGGUGGCUUCAUUGCCCUGGCGCAAGGUCUAUGGCAUGGGGGCUUGAGCACAGAAAGGGCCUCAAACUGUCAAAGAUCGCAUUUCGGAAUCUACACCCUGUCCGUAUGGCACCUUGCCGGAAGCCUGCUUCAUAGCAGUGUCGCGAGGGCCAUCUGGAAUCACACAGAAAUGCAACGGUUCUUGACCAACCCAACGCCGUUCUGCAAUGCUCUCGGAUGCUCCUUAUAUGCCCGCCUGCUUUCAGGAUACACACCAACACGACCACCAACGUCAUGAUCUCUAUCUAUUGGCCGGUUGCUCCUUGGACCACACCACAGCACCCGCUAACUGUGUGUGAUGCUGCGGCAUCUAGUCUGACCAAGCGCAUUAACCUUCGGUCGUUGGCUCUGUCCCUCGAUCUUGCAAGGACGCCAGUUCCUGGCUGGGCUACCCAGCAACUUCCUCGGUAGAUUUCGUCAAGGAAUUGCUGAGAUGAUAACGCGGCUUUUACGGAUGUGUUUUGUGCGCGUGUUGAUGCCCUCCUGACCUGGAUGGUUUUGGAGAGGAAACAAAAACAAAUCUUCGUUGGCAGUGCAAGACAAACAGAAGGAGGCUCCCCUAACUACAUCUGGAAUAUCCAGGCUACAAUACGCUACUCGGACUUUGGAUUCGGCGAACUUGAAGAAGGCAGCAAAUCCAUUAGAGGAUUGGCUCCGGGCAUCGAUCCAUUUCGGAUACCGCGAAUACGACUCGGUGUCGAGUUUGAGCUUGAUUGAACAAGGACCCAUCUUGAGUUGGAGUCAAAGUUUAGCACUUGUCUUGUUCCCUGCUCAACUCGCUUCUUCGAGUCCAAUUCGCCGGCUGCCCCCAUUUGACUUGUUCAUUGACACGACGUACUUUGUACGGAUUGGAUUAUAAGGACACACCAUAGAUUUGGAAGGUAGUCCUGGUUGUCUUUCUCCCAGCAAUGGUCGGAGGACAACCCCCCGCUGGUGAGG
rnacentral:telomerase_RNA from 1 species